UGGAAGUGAAUGGUGACUGAG
rnacentral:miRNA from 1 species